UACAGAGGUCUCAAGCGUUGUUCGGAUUCAUUGGGCGUAAAGGGUGCGUAGGUGGCGCGCUAAGUCAGGUGUGAAAUUUCGGAGCUUAACUCCGAAACUGCAUUUGAUACUGGCGUGCUUGAGGACUGGAGAGGAGACUGGAAUUCACGGUGUAGCAGUGAAAUGCGUAGAUAUCGUGAGGAAGACCAGUGGCGAAGGCGGGUCUCUGGACAGUUCCUGACACUGAGGCACGAAAGCCUAGGGGAGCAAACAGG
rnacentral:rRNA from 1 species